UGGCGAACGGGUGAGUAACACGUGGGUAAUCUGACCCUGCACUCUGGGAUAAGCCUGGGAAACUGGGUCUAAUACUGGAUAUGACCUUUCUCCUUAUGGGGUUUGGUGGAAAGUUUUUCGGUGUAGGAUGAGCCCGCGGCCUAUCAGCUUGUUGGUGGGGUGAUGGCCUACCAAGGCGACGACGGGUAGCCGGCCUGAGAGGGUGAUCGGCCACAUUGGGACUGAGAUACGGCCCAG
rnacentral:rRNA from 1 species